GACGAACGCUGGCGGCGUGCCUAAUACAUGCAAGUUGAGCGAUGAAGAUUGGUGCUUGCACCAAUUUGAAGAGCAGCGAACGGGUGAGUAACGCGUGGGGAAUCUGCCUUUGAGCGGGGGACAACAUUUGGAAACGAAUGCUAAUACCGCAUAACAACUUUAAACAUAAGUUUUAAGUUUGAAAGAUGCAAUUGCAUCACUCAAAGAUGAUCCCGCGUUGUAUUAGCUAGUUGGUGAGGUAAAGGCUCACCAAGGCGAUGAUACAUAGCCGACCUGAGAGGGGGUCGGCCAAAAUGGGACUGAGACACGGCCCAAACUCCUACGGGAGGCAGCAGUAGGGAAUCUUCGGCAAUGGACGAAAGUCUGACCGAGCAACGCCGCGUGAGUGAAGAAGGUUUUCGGAUCGUAAAACUCUGUUGGUAGAGAAGAACGUUGGUGAGAGUGGAAAGCUCAUCAAGUGACGGUAACUACCCAGAAAGGGACGGCUAACUACGUG
rnacentral:rRNA from 1 species